AUUGAACGCUGGCGGCAGGCCUAACACAUGCAAGUCGAACGAGUGGCGGACGGGUGAGUAAUGUCUGGGAACAUGCCUUAUGGAGGGGGAUCACUACUGGAAACUAUAUCUAAUACCGUAAACUCACAUAUGUGCCCAGAUGGGAUUAGCUAGUUGGUGGGGUAACGGCUCAACAAGGCGACGCUCCCUAGCUGGUCUGAGAGGAUGAACAGCCACACUGGAACUGAGACACGUUCCAGACUCCUACGGGAGGCAGCAGUGGGGAAUAUUGCACAAUGGGCGCAAGCCUGAUGCAGCCAUGCCGCGUGUAUGAAGAAGGCCUUCGGGUUGUAAAGUACUUUCAGCGGGGAGGCGUUACCCGCAGAAGAAGCACCGGCUAACUCCGUGCCAGCCGCCGCGGUAAUUC
rnacentral:rRNA from 1 species